rnacentral:rRNA from 1 species
GGGUGACUGCGUACCUUUUGUAUAAUGGGUCAGCGACUUAUAUUCUGUAGCAAGGUUAACCGAAUAGGGGAGCCGUAGGGAAACCGAGUCUUAACUGGGCGAAUGAGUUGCAGGGUAUAGACCCGAAACCCGGUGAUCUAGCCAUGGGCAGGUUGAAGGUUGGGUAACACUAACUGGAGGACCGAACCGACUAAUGUUGAAAAAUUAGCGGAUGACUUGUGGCUGGGGGUGAAAGGCCAAUCAAACCGGGAGAUAGCUGGUUCUCCCCGAAAGCUAUUUAGGUAGCGCCUCGUGAACUCAUCUUCGGGGGUAGAGCACUGUUUCGGCUAGGGGGUCAUCCCGACUUACCAACCCGAUGCAAACUACGAAUACCGAAGAAUGUUAUCACGGGAGACACACGGCGGGUGCUAACGUUCGUCGUGAAGAGGGAAACAACCCAGACCGCCAGCUAAGGUCCCAAAGUCAUGGUUAAGUGGGAAACGAAGUGGGAAGGCUCAGACAGCCAGGAUGUUGGCUUAGAAGCAGCCAUCAUUUAAAGAAAGCGUAAUAGCUCACUGGUCGAGUCGGCCUGCGCGGAAGAUGUAACGGGGCUAAACCAUGCACCGAAGCUGCGGCAGCGACAUGUAAAUGUUGUUGGGUAGGGGAGCGUUCUGUAAGCCUGUGAAGGUGUGCUGCGAGGCAUGCUGGAGGUAUCAGAAGUGCGAAUGCUGACAUAAGUAACGAUAAUGCGGGUGAAAAACCCGCACGCCGGAAGACCAAGGGUUCCUGUCCAACGUUAAUCGGGGCAGGGUGAGUCGACCCCUAAGGCGAGGCAGAAAUGCGUAGUCGAUGGGAAACAGGUUAAUAUUCCUGUACUGGUGAUAAUUGCGAUGGGGGGACGGAGAAGGCUAGGCUGGCCGGGCGACGGUUGUCCCGGUUUAAGGAUGUAGGUGGGUGAAUUAGGCAAAUCCGGUUCGCUAUACACUGAGGUCUGAUGACGAGUCACUACGGUGGCGAAGUAGCUCAUGCCCCGCUUCCAGGAAAAGCCUCUAAGCUCUAGAUUAUCAUUAAUCGUACCCCAAACCGACACAGGUGGUCAGGUAGAGAAUACUCAGGCGCUUGAGAGAACUCGGGUGAAGGAACUAGGCAAAAUGGUGCCGUAACUUCGGGAGAAGGCACGCUGGCAUUAGGUGAAGUGGUUUACCCAUGGAGCUGAAGCCAGUCGCAGAUACCAGCUGGCUGCAACUGUUUAUUAAAAACACAGCACUGUGCAAACACGAAAGUGGACGUAUACGGUGUGACGCCUGCCCGGUGCUGGAAGGUUAAUUGAUGGGGUUAUCCGUAAGGAGAAGCUCUUGAUCGAAGCCCCAGUAAACGGCGGCCGUAACUAUAACGGUCCUAAGGUAGCGAAAUUCCUUGUCGGGUAAGUUCCGACCUGCACGAAUGGCGUAAUGAUGGCCAGGCUGUCUCCACCCGAGACUCAGUGAAAUUGAACUCGCUGUGAAGAUGCAGUGUACCCGCGGCAAGACGGAAAGACCCCGUGAACCUUUACUAUAGCUUGACACUGAACAUUGAGCCUUGAUGUGUAGGAUAGGUGGGAGGCUUUGAAGUGUGGACGCCAGUCUGCAUGGAGCCAACCUUGAAAUACCACCCUUUAAUGUUUGAUGUUCUAACGUAGCCCCAUAAUCUGGGGUGCGGACAGUGUCUGGUGGGUAGUUUGACUGGGGCGGUCUCCUCCCAAAGCGUAACGGAGGAGCACGAAGGUUGGCUAAGCAUGGUCGGACAUCAUGCGGUUAGUGCAAAGGCAUAAGCCAGCUUGACUGCGAGAGUGACGGCUCGAGCAGGUACGAAAGUAGGUCUUAGUGAUCCGGUGGUUCUGAAUGGAAGGGCCAUCGCUCAACGGAUAAAAGGUACUCCGGGGAUAACAGGCUGAUACCGCCCAAGAGUUCAUAUCGACGGCGGUGUUUGGCACCUCGAUGUCGGCUCAUCACAUCCUGGGGCUGAAGUAGGUCCCAAGGGUAUGGCUGUUCGCCAUUUAAAGUGGUACGCGAGCUGGGUUUAGAACGUCGUGAGACAGUUCGGUCCCUAUCUGCCGUGGGCGUUGGAAGAUUGAAAGGGGCUGCUCCUAGUACGAGAGGACCGGAGUGGACGCACCGCUGGUGUUCGGGUUGUCAUGCCAAUGGCACUGCCCGGUAGCUAAGUGCGGAAGAGAUAACCGCUGAAAGCAUCUAAGCGGGAAACUUGCCUUGAGAUGAGUCUUCCCUGACUCUUUAAGGGUCCUAAAGGAACGUUUAAGACGAAGACGUUGAUAGGCUGGGUGUGUAAGCGUAGCGAUACGUUGAGCUAACCAGUACUAAUGAACCGUGAGGCUUAACCUG